GUGAACAUACCACUUGUUGCCUCGGCGGAUCAGCCCGCUCCCGGUAAAACGGGACGGCCCGCCAGAGGACCCCUAAACUCUGUUUCUAUAUGUAACUUCUGAGUAAAACCAUAAAUAAAUCAAAACUUUCAACAACGGAUCUCUUGGUUCUGGCAUCGAUGAAGAACGCAGCAAAAUGCGAUAAGUAAUGUGAAUUGCAGAAUUCAGUGAAUCAUCGAAUCUUUGAACGCACAUUGCGCCCGCCAGUAUUCUGGCGGGCAUGCCUGUUCGAGCGUCAUUUCAACCCUCAAGCACAGCUUGGUGUUGGGACUCGCGUUAAUUCGCGUUCCUCAAAUUGAUUGGCGGUCACGUCGAGCUUCCAUAGCGUAGUAGUAAAACCCUCGUUACUGGUAAUCGUCGCGGCCACGCCGUUAAACCCCAACUUCUGAAUGUUGACCUCGGAUCAGGUAGGAAUACCCGCUGAACUUAAGCAUAUCAA
rnacentral:rRNA from 1 species